GGGGUGGUGGCGCAGUUGGUUAUCGCGUAGGUCUCAUAAUCCUGAGGUCGAGAGUUCGAGCCUCUCUCACCCCA
rnacentral:ncRNA from 15 species